UGGUUUAAUCUAAAGUCCUGUAUCUCGCUUUUACUUCUCUGUAAAAAGAAUGUUAUGAAAUUUGGGCUCCUUUUUCUUUUCAAUCACUCUGCCUGACUGAGCUUUAGAACAAUAACCUUGCUAUCAGAGUAUAUCGCUUUUAACCUUAGAAUUAUUUUGAAAUUUUGUUUAAUAUGAUUCCAUUUGUGUAUACUGUCUGCCAACUUGAAUGAAAGUGCAUAAAUAACUUUAUUUUUUUUUAUUUUUUUAUUUUUUAAUUUUAUUUUCUCUUUUGACUAUAUAUUUUUUGUAUGCCAACGUGAGCAUACAAAAUUGAGUAACUAGUGUAUAGCUUUCUUAUUGUUUUAGAAUCUAGAGUUUUUGUUUCUCUAUUCAUUUGUUUACUCUACUUUGACUUAUGCCUAUCGUUUCAGUUGCUUGUUAAGAUAAGCACAAAAGGUCGAUUUGCCAUAGUUUGAUGUUGUCUGAUAUGCAGAGUCCUAUAUUUAUUUACAUGUGGAGUUUAAUAUUUUUUUUUCUUUUCUUUUGUUUUCUUUCUCUAUGUUGAUGAUAGUCAUGCAGUAGUACUCUCAUAUACUACCUCUUAUUAAUCAGCGACCUUUAAUUAUAUGCCUCUCUAGUAUAAUUUAGUUUUCUUUCCUUUAUGCGCAUAUCGUCCAAAAUGUUUUGAUACAAAUGUCGCAAAUUAAAUAUCCAUAGCAUUAUCAAUAUGAACAUAGGUUGAGCUAUCUGUCAAUUAUAUGCCUGCUUGAAUUUUCGUAUCAUUAACUCCGCUAAUUAUUUCUAAUAUUUUAUAGUGAGUUGUUAAUUUGCAUUUACUUUUGUUCACAUGUGAAACCGGUCCGAGUUCAUUAUGGACUCGUAUUGCCUCCCCCUUUGCAUUUCGGGAGAGCCAUGGAGGCCCUAAAAUCCUUUAUUCGAGUCAGCCAAUUACAAAUAUCGAUGAACAGGCCUCGGAGUUGAAAGGAUUCCAAGCAAAAGAAGAAUCGAAAGAUUGGGCCAAAGGCCCACUCUUUGCACAAAAAGAAAUUUGUAUUUCGUUAUUUUGGGCCUAAUCCCAUUUAUUGUAAUUAUUAUUAUUUGUUAGUUACUAAGGACAGGUACAAGGAGACAAGGGUUGUGCCAAAGGCCCAAAGAGAGGCAAAAUUCAAAGAUUAGUUUAGGAUAGAUGUUGAAUAUUGGGUCUUUGGUCCCAAAACGAAAUAGGCCCAAAUACUGGCCCAGGCGGACAGGAAAACCAGAUUUGGGCUUAAAUUCUCUUUCCCUAUCUAUUUAACUGCUAUUAUGUGCUUAUUUGUUAAAAAUUAAUAUUAAGGUCUCGAAACUUCAAAUCCCCAAAAGACACCC
rnacentral:lncRNA from 1 species